GAUGAACGCUGGCGGCGUGCCUAAUACAUGCAAGUCGAGCGAACGGACGAGAAGCUUGCUUCUCUGAUGUUAGCGGCGGACGGGUGAGUAACACGUGGAUAACCUACCUAUAAGACUGGGAUAACUUCGGGAAACCGGAGCUAAUACCGGAUAAUAUUUUGAACCGCAUGGUUCAAAAGUGAAAGACGGUCUUGCUGUCACUUAUAGAUGGAUCCGCGCUGCAUUAGCUAGUUGGUAAGGUAACGGCUUACCAAGGCAACGAUGCAUAGCCGACCUGAGAGGGUGAUCGGCCACACUGGAACUGAGACACGGUCCAGACUCCUACGGGAGGCAGCAGUAGGGAAUCUUCCGCAAUGGGCGAAAGCCUGACGGAGCAACGCCGCGUGAGUGAUGAAGGUCUUCGGAUCGUAAAACUCUGUUAUUAGGGAAGAACAUAUGUGUAAGUAACUGUGCACAUCUUGACGGUACCUAAUCAGAAAGCCACGGCUAACUACGUGCCAGCAGCCGCGGUAAUACGUAGGUGGCAAGCGUUAUCCGGAAUUAUUGGGCGUAAAGCGCGCGUAGGCGGUUUUUUAAGUCUGAUGUGAAAGCCCACGGCUCAACCGUGGAGGGUCAUUGGAAACUGGAAAACUUGAGUGCAGAAGAGGAAAGUGGAAUUCCAUGUGUAGCGGUGAAAUGCGCAGAGAUAUGGAGGAACACCAGUGGCGAAGGCGACUUUCUGGUCUGUAACUGACGCUGAUGUGCGAAAGCGUGGGGAUCAAACAGGAUUAGAUACCCUGGUAGUCCACGCCGUAAACGAUGAGUGCUAAGUGUUAGGGGGUUUCCGCCCCUUAGUGCUGCAGCUAACGCAUUAAGCACUCCGCCUGGGGAGUACGACCGCAAGGUUGAAACUCAAAGGAAUUGACGGGGACCCGCACAAGCGGUGGAGCAUGUGGUUUAAUUCGAAGCAACGCGAAGAACCUUACCAAAUCUUGACAUCCUUUGACAACUCUAGAGAUAGAGCUUUCCCCUUCGGGGGACAAAGUGACAGGUGGUGCAUGGUUGUCGUCAGCUCGUGUCGUGAGAUGUUGGGUUAAGUCCCGCAACGAGCGCAACCCUUAAGCUUAGUUGCCAUCAUUAAGUUGGGCACUUUAAGUUGACUGCCGGUGACAAACCGGAGGAAGGUGGGGAUGACGUCAAAUCAUCAUGCCCCUUAUGAUUUGGGCUACACACGUGCUACAAUGGACAAUACAAAGGGCAGCGAAACCGCGAGGUCAAGCAAAUCCCAUAAAGUUGUUCUCAGUUCGGAUUGUAGUCUGCAACUCGACUACAUGAAGCUGGAAUCGCUAGUAAUCGUAGAUCAGCAUGCUACGGUGAAUACGUUCCCGGGUCU
rnacentral:rRNA from 1 species